rnacentral:rRNA from 1 species
GUACACGCUGUGACUAGCAUAUCAAUAAGCGGAGGAAAAGAAACUAACAAGGAUUCCCCUAGUAACGGCGAGUGAAGCGGGAAGAGCUCAAAUUUGAAAUCUUAAAGGGUUUCCCUUUACGAAUUGUAGUUUAAAGAAGUGUUUUCUGUUGAGGUUUUGGUAAAAGUUCUUUGGAAUAGGACAUCAUAGAGGGUGAGAAUCCCGUAUUUGACCUUUACUUUCAACUUUGUGAUACACUUUCAAAGAGUCGGAUUGUUUGGGAAUGCAGUCCAAAAUGGGUGGUAAAUUUCAUCUAAAGCUAAAUAUUGGCGAGAGACCGAUAGCGAACAAGUACCGUGAGGGAAAGAUGAAAAGAACUUUGAAAAGAGAGUUAAACAGUACGUGAAAUUGUCAAAAGGGAAGCGUUUGACACCAGUGUUGUUUUUCUGAAAAUCAAUUAAAGAACUGUUUAUGCUAAGUUGUUUAGACUUUAUCAGCUAACUGUUUAGUUUUGAGCUUUUCUUUAAUGCACUUUUCAGUUAACAAGUCAACAUCAAUUUCUUUUGCUGUAAAAAAGCUUGAGGAAGGUGGCUUGAGAUUCGUCUUAAGUGUUUAUAGCCUCUUGCCUAUGCAGUCGGAGAGAUUGAGGUCUGCAGCGUAGAUCCUUCAGGGCUAAAUGCAUUUGUGCUAAGUUAUAGCAUUUUAUAGACAACUUGUUGACUAUGAUUUGUCUUGUAGCUUACUCGCUUAUGUUAUUUUACCUACGCUUAGGAUGUUGAAGAUGUAGCACAUCAU